GACGAACCGUGCGAACGUUGUUCGGAAUCACUGGGCUUAAAGCGCGUGUAGGCGGCUUGGCAAGUCGGAUGUGAAAGCCCACGGCUCAACCGUGGAAGCGCAUCCGAAACGGCCUCGCUCGAGUCUCGGAGAGGAAGGUGGAAUGCUUGGUGUAGAGGUGAAAUUCGUAGAUAUCAAGCAGAACACCUGCGGCGAAGGCGGCCUUCUGGACGAUGACUGACGCUGAGACGCGAAAGCGUGGGGAGCAAACAGG
rnacentral:rRNA from 1 species